rnacentral:rRNA from 1 species
AUUGAACGCUGGCGGCAUGCUUUACACAUGCAAGUCGAACGGUAACAGGGAGCUUGCUCCGCUGACGAGUGGCGAACGGGUGAGUAAUGCGUCGGAACGUGCCGAGUAGCGGGGGAUAACGCAUCGAAAGGUGUGCUAAUACCGCAUACGAACUGAGGUUGAAAGUGGGGGACCUUCGGGCCUCACGCUAUUCGAGCGGCCGACGUCUGAUUAGCUAGUUGGUGAGGGAAAGGCUCACCAAGGCGACGAUCAGUAGUGGGUCUGAGAGGAUGAUCCGCCACACUGGGACUGAGACACGGCCCAGACUCCUACGGGAGGCAGCAGUGGGGAAUUUUGGACAAUGGGCGCAAGCCUGAUCCAGCCAUGCCGCGUGUCUGAAGAAGGCCUUCGGGUUGUAAAGGACUUUUGUCCGGGAGCAAAUGCUGGUGGCUAACAUCCACCGGAGCUGAGAGUACCGGAAGAAUAAGCACCGGCUAACUACGUGCCAGCCGCCGCGGUAAGAC